GGUGCUGCAUGGCUGUCGUCAGCUCGUGUCGUGAGAUGUUCGGUUAAGUCCGCUAACGAGCGCAACCCUCGCUGUGUGUUACAAGUGUCACACGGAACUGCCGGUCAUAAACCGGAGGAAGGUGGGGAUGACGUCAAGUCAGCAUGGCCUUUAUAUCCUGGGCUACACACACGCUACAAUGGGAAGGGACAAUAGGUUGCGAAGCCGCGAGGCGGAGCCAAUCCAGCAAAACUUCCCUCAGUUCAGAUUGCAGGCUGCAACCCGCCUGCAUGAAGUUGGAGUUGCUAGUAAACGCAGGUCAGCCAUACUGCGUUGAAUACGUUCCCGGGGCUU
rnacentral:rRNA from 1 species